rnacentral:rRNA from 1 species
UACGUAGGCAGCGAGCGUUGUUCGGAAUUACUGGGCGUAAAGAGUGCGUAGGCGGUGCUCUAAGUCUGUUGUGAAAUCUCCCGGCUCAACUGGGAGGGUGCGGCGGAAACUAGAGUGCUAGAGUAUGGGAGAGGUAAGCGGAAUUCCUGGUGUAGCGGUGAAAUGCGUAGAUAUCAGGAGGAACACCUGUGGUGUAGGCAGCUUACUGGACCAUGACUGACGCUGAGGCACGAAAGCGUGGGGAGCAAACAGG